AUGGAUAUUUACUUUGUUGGAGUUUAUUUUCUCAAGAGUUGCUCCAGUAUUUUCUAAAUUUUUUUGUCAUCUAAUAAAUUUUCGCUGCAAUUUUGUCGAGGGAAAAAACUGAUGUCCACCUUGCUCUGAUUUGUGCAUUCUUUACUUACAACUUUUAAUUUACCUUAUUAUUGUCUCAUUUGUUUGGUUGAUCCUCUGGUUGGUGUGAAUUAUGUGGGAGAUUCAUGUGACCACCACCUCCAUGGGCUCGCUCGGUACAACAUACGAUGACAGGUAGUACUUCGGCGGUGCCAGCAACCACGAGUGUGACAACGACCAUGGAAGAGAAGAUUGGAAAACCAAGAAGGAGAAUGUAACACUCCAAUAGUCACACAUCGGAACCCUACCCUUGCCUAGGGUUUUCGAUAUGCAUUGUACGUCUUGAUCUACUCCCAAUCGAGGCAUUAAAUACUAUCAUGGAAAUGUCAUCUUCAGCAUCUUUGGGAUUACUCUAUUGCCGGUUGUUGCGAGCCGAAAAUCCAGACCAUUGACCCAAUCAGUAUUUUCCUUUGGGAAGCGAGUCGAGAGGUGGGCCGACUCUUGAUGAUAACCCUCGAAUGCGCCCAAGACUAAUCAAGCGAUCGACUGAGGAGGGAUAUACUCAGCCGAGUUCGAACACUCAUUGUAUUAAUGACUUGGCUGAAUGAGCCAAGUGACUUAUCUUUAUUUCAGAAAAAGAGUUGAAAUACAGAGGUUGUUAUAG